GACGAACGCUGGCUGCGUGCCUAAUACAUGCAAGUAGGACGCAGUUGCGAACGGGUGAGUAACGCGUAGGUAACUACCUAUUAGAGGGGGAUAACUAUUGGAAACGAUAGCUAAUACCGCAUACUAGUAGAUUGACCUGCGUUGUAUUAGCGAGUAGGUAGGGUAAUGGCCUACCUGGGCAACGAUACAUAGACGACCUGAGGGGGUGAUGGGCCAAACUGGGACUUAGACACGGCCCAGCCGCCUACGGGAGUCAGCAGUAGGGAAUCUUCGGCAAUGGGGGGAACCCUGGCCGAGCAACGCCGCGUGAGUGAAGAAGGUUUUCGGAUCGUAAAGCUCUGUUGUUAAGGGAGCGGUACUUAACCAGAAAGGGACGGCUAACUACGUGCCAGCAGCCGCGGUAAUAC
rnacentral:rRNA from 1 species